rnacentral:rRNA from 1 species
AGUGGCGGACGGGUGAGUAACGCGUGGGAACAUGCCUAUUAGUUGGGGACAACCUGUGGAAACGCAGGCUAAUACCGAAUACGUUCUACGGAAUAAAGGUGGCCUCUCCUUGGAAGCUAUCGCUGAUAGAUUGGCCCGCGUUGGAUUAGCCAGUUGGUGGGGUAAAGGCCCACCAAGGCGACGAUCCAUAGCUGGUUUGAGAGGAUGAUCAGCCACACUGGGACUGAGACACGGCCCAGACUCCUACGGGAGGCAGCAGUGGGGAAUAUUGGACAAUGGGCGCAAGCCUGAUCCAGCAAUGCCGCGUGUGUGAAGAAGGCCUGAGGGCUGUAAAGCACUUUCAAUCGUGAAGAAGGGCGUGUUGUUAAUAUCAGCAUGCAUUGACGUUAACGAUAGAAGAAGCACCGGCUAACUCUGUGCCAGCAGCCGCGGUAAUACAGAGGGUGCAAGCGUUAAUCGGAAUUACUGGGCGUAAAGCGCGCGUAGGUGGUUUGAUAAGUUGGAUGUGAAAUCCCCGGGCUUAACCUGGGGUCGGUCAUUCAAAACUGUCAGACUAGAGUAUGGUAGAGGGGUAGUGGAAUUCCUUGUGUAGCGGUGAAAUGCGUAGAUAUUAGGAGGAACACCAGUGGCGAAAGCGACUGCCUGGACUGAUACUGACACUGAGGUGCGAAAGCGUGGGUAGCGAACAGGAUUAGAUACCC